rnacentral:rRNA from 1 species
UACGGGGGGGGCAAGCGUUGUUCGGAAUUACUGGGCGUAAAGGGCUCGUAGGUGGCCAACUAAGUCGGACGUGAAAUCCCUCGGCUUAACCGGGGAACUGCGUCCGAUACUGGUUGGCUUGAGUUUGGGAGAGGGAUGCGGAAUUCCAGGUGUAGCGGUGGAAUGCGUAGAGAUCCGGAAGAACACCGGUGGCGAAGGCGGUCGACUGGGCCAGUACUGACGCUGAGGCGCGACAGCGUGGGGAGCAAACAGG